CCUACGGGAGACAGCAGUGGGGAAUAUUGCACAAUGGGGGAAACCCUGAUGCAGCGACGCCGCGUGAGCGAUGAAGUAUUUCGGUAUGUAAAGCUCUAUCAGCAGGGAAGAAAAUGACGGUACCUGACGCAGAAGCCCCGGCUAACUACGGGCCAGCAGCCGCGGGAAUACGUAGGGGGCAAGCGUUAUCCGGCGUUACUGGUGUAAAGGGAGCGUAGACGGCGAUGCAAGCCAGAUGUGAAAGCUCGGGGCUCAACCCCGGGACUGCAUUUGGAACUGUAUAGCUGGAGUGUCGGAGAGGCAGGCGGAAUUCGUGGUUGAGCGGUGAAAUGCGUAGAUAUUAGCAGGAACACCAGUGGCGAAGGCGGCCUGCUGGACGAUGACUGACGUUGAGGCUCAAAAGCGUGGGGAGCAAACAGGAUUAGAUACCCGAGUAGUC
rnacentral:rRNA from 1 species